rnacentral:rRNA from 1 species
UACGGAGGGUGCAAGCGUUAUCCGGAUUCACUGGGUUUAAAGGGUGCGUAGGCGGGCAGGUAAGUCAGGGGUGAAAUCUUCGAGCUUAACUCGGAAACUGCCUUUGAUACUAUCUGUCUUGAAUAUGGUGGAGGUAAGCGGAAUAUGUCAUGUAGCAGUGAAAUGCUUAGAUAUGACAUAGAACACCUAUUGCGAAGGCAGCUUACUACGCCUAUAUUGACGCUGAGGCACGAAAGCGUGGGGAUCAAACAGG